rnacentral:rRNA from 1 species
CAGCAGCCGCGGGAAUACGAAGGGGGCUAGCGUUGCUCGGAAUGACUGGGCGUAAAGAGCGCGUAGGCGGCGAUCAAAGUCAGGCGUGAAAUUCCUGGGCUCAACCUGGGGGCUGCGUUUGAUACUUGAUUGCUAGAGUGGGGAAGAGGGUCGUGGAAUUCCCAGUGUAGAGGUGAAAUUCGUAGAUAUUGGGAAGAACACCGGUGGCGAAGGCGGCGACCUGGUCCUUGACUGACGCUGAGGCGCGAAAGCGUGGGGAGCAAACAGGGUUAGAUACCCCCGUAGUCCCUGUCUCUUAUAC